GCCCGGGUAGCUCAGCAGGGAGAGCGGCUGCCUUACAAGCAGAAGGUCGGGGGUUCGAUCCCCUCCCUGGGCACCG
rnacentral:tRNA from 1 species